rnacentral:rRNA from 1 species
UACGGAGGAUGCAAGCGUUAUCCGGAAUGAUUGGGCGUAAAGCGUCCGCAGGUGGCAAUGUAAGUCUGCUGUCAAAGCGUCUGGCUCAACCAGAUAAAGGCAGUGGAAACUACAUAGCUAGAGUAAGGUAGGGGUAGAGGGAAUUCCUGGUGUAGCGGUGAAAUGCGUAGAGAUCAGGAAGAACACCGGUGGCGAAAGCGCUCUGCUGGAUCUUAACUGACACUGAGGGACGAAAGCUAGGGGAGCGAAUGGG